CACCGGCGCCACAAGUGGUGAUCACGAUUAUUGAGCCUAAAGCGUCCGUAGCCGGUCUUGUAAAUCUCAUGUGAAAUCAUUAGGCCUAACCUAAUGGUGUGCAUGAGACACUGCAGGACUAGAGACUGGGAGGAGUAAGAGGUAUUUCUGGGGGAGCGGUAAAAUGCUAUAAUCCCAGAAGGACCACCAGUGGCGAAGGCGUCUUACUAGAACAGGUCUGACGGUGAGGGACGAAAGCUAGGGGAGCGAACCGG
rnacentral:rRNA from 1 species